rnacentral:tRNA from 1 species
GUGUAUAAGAGAACGGUUCGGGACCGUGAGGUCGCCGGUUCGAGUCCGGCCGCCCCGACCA